AUGUUUUAUAAGGAGGAAUAUUGGUCAUGGUCUUUCCAGACCCUACUUCCAAUAUUUAUCCUUUUGUCAUGGAGUACCUCAUUCCUGUCUCCUAACAUGUCUGCCAAAUUUGGUUACUGUUCUCUGUAUCUCCUCAGAGGCCGAUCUACUCAGGAAAAUCAGAACCAGAGGAGAGAAAGGAAAGGCAGAGAUUUUUGUGAAGUCUGUGCAGUGUUACAUGGCCCUGGCCCAGCUCCUGGUGGAGCAGAACUUCCCAGCCAUUGCUAUCCACUGUGGGACAUCCUGGGAGGAGAGGUGAGUCAGAGAUGGAAAGAUGUUUUGUGUCCUUGGGAUGACAUGAGACCCCUGAGAGAAAGGACUGUGAACAUUUUUCUAAUUUUCAUUCUGACAAAGCCUUUCUUGGUGUCCAUAGUUUAAAGACCUUUCAUGAUGAAUUCUUGUGGCCACCAACUUAUUUGGCUGAGGCAUGGACAUUGAGCAGGUAAACACUGCCAUCAACUGCCACCUGCCUGAGGAAUCCCACACCUACCUGGAUCAGGUAAGCUGCACACCCACACAGGCAUCCCAGUUUCCCCUCCCACCCCCUGAUUUCCUAUGUCUUCGUACAUUACAUCCUUGUCCCUCCUUUUGGGUGUCUUCCUACUUUGGGGUCUUCCAGUGCUACCCUCUGUCUCCUUGCAGGAGGCCUGAGCAGGCCAGUUCGCCCAAGGGCUUGGCCAUUACAUUUGUGUCAAAUGAAAACAAUGCCAAGAUCCUCAAUGAGGUGCAGGGUCACAUUGAGGUCAGUCGUAGUGAGCUGCCUGAUGAGAUGGAUAUUUCCUCCUCCUGUGAGUAUUGAUCUCAUGAAACUGGUUCCUCCAAGUCUUCAGAGUCUCCUCAUUCCUCAGUGACUUUGUCUUGAAACAAAGUGCAGGCAGUGGUGCCUGAUGCCUAAUGGGUGCCUGACAAGUUUAUGCCCUGAUCUUGAUGCCAUGUUGGGAUAUUUUAUUUCUAUGUGGGAUCUCUUUCCUCUUUCGUCCAAUUAAUUUUCUUUUUUGCACCUCAGUCUUUCCCCUGACCCCACACCCCACAUGAACAUCUGCAUGUAUAGGGGUCUGUGUUUCUGCCAGUCUAACUUAUCCUUUCCAUGCCUUAUUGUAACUGUUCUCUGCAGUUGCAGCCAUGGGAGAGGACGCACCCAUUCGAAGAGCCUGAUGGAGGUCUCACACCCACAAACCAUGAGAUCAUGCAUGACCUCAGCUGAAAUCAAGAGUCGGAUGCCCACCCGACUGACCCACCCAGGCACUCCUAGAGUUUCUUCUUCCUAAUUAAUUUCCUUUUAAAGAUAUUUUAAAUUUGAAUAUAGUUGACACACAAGAUUACAUUAGUUUUGGGUGUACAACCCAGUGACUCAGCUUCUGUAUACAUUUUCUUUUUUUGAGAGAGAGGCAGCCAGAGCAGGGAAGAGAGGCAGAGGGAGAGAGAGAGAGAGAGAGAGAGAGAAAGACAGAAAAUCUCAAGCCGGUUCAGUCCCGUGGGGCUUGAUUCUAUGACCUGGGAUCAUGACUGGAGAGCCACCCAGAGGCCCUUCACUUUCUGUCUACACCAUGCUGUGCUCACCAGAGUGUAGCUGCCAUCUGUCACCACACACCAUAGUCUCACUGACGAUAAUCCCUGUGCUGUGCCUUUUAUUCCUAUGACCUGUUCCUUCCAUAACUGGAGCCUGUGUCUCCCACUCCCCUCACCCACUGUGCCCAUCCUCCCAACCCCUUCCCUCUGGCAGUCAUCAGUUUGUUCUCUGUAUUUAUAGGUCUGAUUCUGCUGUUUGUUUCUUUACUCAUUUGUUUUGUUUUUUUAGAUUACACAUAUGAGUGAAUCAUAUGGUACUUGUCUAUCUCAGUCUGAUUCAUUUCACUUAGCAGACCUACUGCCCUGUUUGUCCACCCAUGUUGUCACAAGUGGCAGCACAUAUUUAUAUGUAUGUGUACAUACCACACAUCUUCCUUAUCCAUUUGUCUAUGGGUGGACACAGGUUCUAUCAGUAUGGCUUCUGAAAAAAAAAAACAAAAAAACUUCACACUCUUAACAUCAUCUGGGAUGAAGGCGCCCCCUGGUGUCUGGGUCCCUGUCCAGGUGCUGGAGCUGAGGGAGACCCUAGGGAGGGCCUGGCUGAGGAGGAGAAAGGCAGCUGGGUCUUCUCUCCUUAGUCCUGUGGCCGCACGUGGGGUGGAAGGUAAGGGGACACCCCCUCCCUCACCCCACUGCUCUGCUCUCAGGUGGAUUCUGACUGAGAAGCCUGAGUGGGGUCUGGACUGUAAGUCAGGUAGACAUGUCUGAGCAGAAGCCUGGGCGUCAGUGGGAAGAGGAAGAAGCUUCUGAGCAGCCCUGGACUCCACAGGGGUCAGGCUCAGGGGUGAGGCAGGAUUGCAGGAGAAGAGAGCUCAGGAGCCGGUGCCAUUGCUGAGGUUUCUGUGUCCCUGUGCACCUCCUCCUCCAGUCCCUUGAUGGAAAUAACAGGGAAAAUCUCUCAGACCUUCCUUUCCUUGUGUACUCUCUGUCUUUCAAAUAAAUAAACUAAAAAAAAAAAAAAAAAGAAUUGG
rnacentral:lncRNA from 1 species